UCUGAUGUGAAGAGGAANCCUAGGUAAGUC
rnacentral:piRNA from 1 species